AGGGCACCACCAGGAGUGGAGCCUGCGGCUUAAUUUGACUCAACACGGGAAAUCUCACCAGGCCCGGACACCGGAAGGAUUGACAGAUUGAGAGCUCUUUCUUGAUUCGGUGGGUGGUGGUGCAUGGCCGUUCUUAGUUGGUGGAGCGAUUUGUCUGGUUAAUUCCGAUAACGAACGAGACUCUAGCCUACUAAAUAGGCCACCGGCUUACUGACGUCGGUGGGACUUCUUAGAGGGACAGGCGGCGAUUCAGCCGCACGAAACAGAGCAAUAACAGGUCUGUGAUGCCCUUAGAUGUCCGGGGCCGCACGCGCGCUACACUGAAGUGAUCAGCGUGCAUUACAAACCUGCUCCGUCAGGAGUGGGGAACCCAAUGAACCUUCUUCGUGAUUGGGAUAGGGGAUUGUAAUUAUUCCCCUUGAACGAGGAAUUCCCAGUAAGCGCGAGUCAUAAGCUCGCGUUGAUUACGUCCCUGCCCUUUGUACACACCGCCCGUCGCUACUACCGAUUGAAUGAUUU
rnacentral:rRNA from 1 species